rnacentral:rRNA from 1 species
UGAGGAAUAUUGGUCAAUGGACGCAAGUCUGAACCAGCCAAGUAGCGUGCAGGAUGACGGCCCUAUGGGUUGUAAACUGCUUUUAUAUGGGGAUAAAGUGGGGAACGUGUUCCCUUUUGCAGGUACCAUAUGAAUAAGGACCGGCUAAUUCCGUGCCAGCAGCCGCGGUAAUACGGAAGGUUCGGGCGUUAUCCGGAUUUAUUGGGUUUAAAGGGAGCGUAGGCCGUUUGGUAAGCGUGUUGUGAAAUGUAGGAGCUCAACUUCUAGAUUGCAGCGCGAACUGUCAGACUUGAGUGCGCACACCGUAGGCGGCAUUCAUGGUGUAGCGGUGAAAUGCUUAGAUAUCAUGAAGAACUCCGAUUGCGAAGGCAGCUUACGGGAGCGCAACUGACGCUGAAGCUCGAAGGUGCGGGUAUCGAACAGG